rnacentral:rRNA from 1 species
GACGAACGCUGGCGGCGUGCUUAACACAUGCAAGUCGAACGGAAAGGCCCCUUUGGGGGUACUCGAGUGGCGAACGGGUGAGUAACACGUGAGUAACCUGCCCUUGACUUCGGGAUAACUUCAGGAAACUGGGGCUAAUACCGGAUAGGAAUCCUUGCUGCAUGGUGGGGGUUGGAAAGCUUCGGCGGUUUUGGAUGGACUCGCGGCUUAUCAGCUUGUUGGUGGGGUAGUGGCUUACCAAGGCUUUGACGGGUAGCCGGCCUGAGAGGGCGACCGGCCACAUUGGGACUGAGAUACGGCCCAGACUCCUACGGGAGGCAGCGGUGGGGAAUAUUGCACAAUGGGCGGAAGCCUAAUGCAGCAACGCCGCGUGCGGGAUGACGGCCUUCGGGUUGUAAACCGCUUUCAGCAGGGGCGAAGCUUGUGGUGACGGUACCUGCAGAAGAAGCACCGGCUAACUACGUG